UCGUGGUGUAGCAAGGAAAGGGAGAGGAUACGCCUGUUAGACUUCCUGGCCAAACCUUACUCAGUGAUUGUCAUAUCCUCGUUAAAACAUGGCCAUUAGUGUCAUUAAUCGCGUUGGGUAUUGCAAUUUAUCUUUAACACCGCGGAGUAGCUGUAGAGGGCCCAGCGCCCCCCCCUACUUAGGCCUCCCAUAUAUAGACCUAUGCGGUUUCCCCGUGACCUGUGUGCCGAUUUUGUUGACCAGCAGGGCGUGCAGUGCUUCUGAGAGCCCCCGCCCCAGCCCCGAGACCAGCAGGGUGACCCACUGGACUUGAGAAAGGAUCACCCCAUAUCUGCAGAUCCUGGUGGCACCCGACCCGAGCUACUGGUACUGCCGGAACCCCCUGGCUGGCGGAUGAGAUCUUCCUGACGGAUGUGACGGCCAACUUCCUGACUGUGAGGAUCGGGGAGUGCAAGAAGCAGCCGGGGGUUUUCAAGGACAUGACCGACCCAAACCAGAAUUCCCAGUGCUCGAUUAUGUGAUGUGUUGUGAUUGUGAAUAUGUCUUGACUUUGCUGGUGAAGGUUUCCAUGGCAAAUAGGAUCAUACUGAAAAGGUAUUAGCUGGGGGUCUUCAAGGACACGACCGACCCAAACCAGAAAUCCUAGUACUCAAUUAUGUGGUUAUUGUGAAUAUGUCUUGACUUUGCUGGUGAAGGUUUCCAUGGUGAACAGGAUCAUACUGAAAGGAUAUUAGCAUGGAAAGAUAUUGUUGUGCUGUGUUCGUGGGAGUCCCGUAAACAAACAUGUGGGUACAGCUAUUACUGGACGCAAAAUGUUAUUGUAAAGCCUGCUGGAUACAUUUGACAAGCAUAGAAAACCACCUAAAAAUUAUAAGUUAAAACUCUGUCAUCACUUGCAGAAUUGGAAGUCCAAACAAUCUAAACUGAUACUUCAAAGGAAGCUCACAGCCUUGGGAUUACUUUAGGCAUUUGGGUUUGAGUCUUGGUGCAAAGCCAGAUUUUUAAGAAAUUUAUUUAUAAAAUUGUACGGGCCGUGAACACCUCGUGUGUGACCCCCUGCUGCUCACAAGCCGUACACCAAUUAAAAAAAACAUAUUUGUGUCUUUACCGUGGAGCAGCGACGAGCCAAACUUGUGCCAUGAUUUAAACCCAAAAAAAUAGAUGAUACAUAAACUGAUCACAAAUGCUUUGAUAUAUAUUAUGAAAUGGUUUGUGUGAGGGGUGAUUUUUUCUCAUUUUUCUCGCUUAGAGGGACCAUUAAGAAACAUGAUCCCCGCUGCUACCAGGUUGAAAAAAAAAAAACUUCCUAUGGAGAAAACAUAUUCUCUGGGGAAGCUCAAGAGAUACUCCUAGAUGAAGGCCAUUUCCUGAGGAGUAUUAUGCACUCUUUGUUAUGCCUGUUAGGGCAAACACAGAUUUUUAAUUAGUAUUUUCCCACCAGUAGUACUAUGGGUUGUCCACCUCACCCUACAGUUGAAACAAUAUAACAUUUGAAAAACCAUUCUAUUCCACCUUCUGUAUAAAAAGAGAUGUUAUAUGUUUUUUCCUGUUUUAGUCAUGGAAUUUACUAUUAAGCAGAAUAUUGUUGUACACUUGGGCACUUAAACAGGAGGAGGCUUUUCAAACAGGCAAAUGUUGGUGCCCAGAUGUUUAAAAAUGCUGCUUGGAAGUCUGGAAGAGUGACUGGAAUCUGCGACUUCUUAGCUGAUGGGGGCUUCGUGGUGCAGUGGUUAGCACACUCAGCUCACAACCAAGAGAGCACGGGGUCGAUUCCCAGGCGGAGUGGAAAAAUUUGGGCGGCUUUUCUGAUACCCUACGCCCCUGUCCACCCAGCAGUGAAUGGGUGCCAGGUAUUAAUCGGGGGUUGUGUCCCGUCUCCUGGGGUUUGUUCCCUUCUAUAAUUCCUUCCCAUUCUGUCUCUCUCCGGCACAUGACCACAGAUGUUGCGCCCACUAAACAAAACUUUCCAACUUUUUCUCUGGUGAUUCUCUGUACAGGCAGUGGUUCAGAAGGUGUACUAGACUGCCUCCAGCUGACUGUUUGAGGCUCUACCAUGUCUUCCGGUCAUGGUUUUAGGGUUUCCGCCGUCCAUAAGCUUAAGAAAUCUUGUGUACUGUAUUUCCAAGCUUCUGAAAAUGGACCCAAAAUAUAAUACUGAGUGCCUCUCUAAUGUUCAUCUCUAUGUAUAGGGAAGGGAGUUGUAUCAUAGCCUGUUAAGAAUAUUAAGGUGUCUAUUGUGUAUUUCCAGGCCUCUGAAAAUGGACCCAAAAUGUCAGAAUGAGUGCAUGUUGUACCUCUAAUGUUUAUCGCUAUGUAUAGGGAAGGGAGUUGUAUUCACAGAGUUAUAUACAUAGAGGGUUCCCAGAGCCUGGAUUUUGAAGCAACUGGCGGCCAUCUUAGGGUGACGAAUGGCGAGACAGAGAGAAAUUUACUUUCACAUAGUUAUGUCUGCUGUUAUCAGGUCAGCAGUGCCUCAGCGACCCUCUGUCAGAUAGACUUGUUAUUUUCUUGUCCAUUUUCUACCCACUGAUUAUUGUUACAUUGGUACAUGUCAUAUACCAUCUGCAUCGGAAAAACAUGCUCAAUUUGAAACUGUAAACGAAAAUCUAAUACAAUAAAAAGUUCCUGAAUGACAAGUAAUUGAGGCAAAAAAGAUGAACACAAAUGUUUAUACACUACCAUAAUGAUAUGCAGCAAUGUCUCAUGAACACGAUGAUCGGCUCAGUUUUCCAAAAUAUCAUAAUGGUGGCUGGCUAAUAGUGGUUAAGUGUAAACAUGUGGAAUCAUGGAAAGGUCGCCAAUCCGUCACCCUAUGGCAGCCGACCACAGGCAGGAGCAGUGGCUUCACCUCUCACCGUGGCGAGAAAUUGGAGUUGAACCCUCUAGUCUAUAACUCUGUGGUUGUACCAUAUCCUGUUAAGAAUAUUAAGGAGUCUGUUGUGUAUUUCCAGGCCUUGGAAACUGUGACAAUGGACUGAAAACAACAUUGGAAUUAGUGCAAGAUAUACCCCUGAUGUCCUGUUCCUGUUCUUCCCUUGUAUAGAACUAGAGAGAGAGGAGAGAAAGAACAGACAUAGUUAGUGAAGUGAAGCCUUUGUUCAACCUUUCUUAUGCCUGUAGUGAAAAAUAAUAAUAAUAAUAAUAAUAAUAAUAAUAAUAAUAAUAAGAGGAAGAGAUGAUGUUAUGAGCUAUUGUGUUCUUAAGGGCUGAUUAAACUUUGCUGGUAUCGGAA